rnacentral:ncRNA from 1 species
GAUAACCGGCUUGUGACAGCCAAGCGUUCAUAGUGACGUUACUUUUGAUCCUUCGGUGUUGGACCCUUGUAUCACACUGAAGCAAAAUUCAGUAAGCGUUGGAUUGUUCACCCUCUCACUAAUAGAGAAUGUGGGCUGGGCUUAGAUCGUCGUGAGACAGGUU